UACGAAGGGGGCUAGCGUUGCUCGGAAUCACUGGGCGUAAAGGGUGCGUAGGCGGGUCUUUAAGUCAGGGGUGAAAUCCUGGAGCUCAACUCCAGAACUGCCCUUGAUACUGGCGGUCUCGAGUCCGGGAGAGGUGAGUGGAACUGCGAGUGUAGAGGUGAAAUUCGUAGAUAUUCGCAAGAACACCAGUGGCGAAGGCGGCUCACUGGCCCGGACUGACGCUGAGGUGCGAAAGCGUGGGGAGCAAACAGG
rnacentral:rRNA from 1 species